UUUUAUUUUUUAAAUUAUUUUGCUUUUUUACUUCAAGGCCGUUGAAGUGUUUGACUUCUGAGUAUGUUUUUUUUACACUGUGAAACAUAAUCUGUGAUCAACGUUCUGCUGCAUCAUAUGUCAUGAUUUGUUUCUUCCAAUUAGUAUUUAGUCAGACAUAUCAAAGUUAAGAUUUAUUUAGCUAUUAAUGUGAAAGUUACAUUCAUAUUUAAUAUUUAUUAUAAGUUAUUUCCCAGUGACCCCAAAGGGAUUCAGGGAUGAAUGUUUGUUUUUCUUUUCCUUUUUAAGUUAAUGCAGACAAACUCACAAAAACAACCUGUCCUCUCAUCUUAUUUCCUAAUCGGCAUCAGCAUUAAAAAAACAAAAAAACAAAAACAAAGUACCUAUAAUACAUAGUGGUUUCUUAAUAAGCUAUUUGCGUUCACUCCCAUCCUCAGCACUGAGUGUCUGUUGUCUUUUUCUCGGGCUUGUCUCAAGCCUCCUGCAUGCUACAGAAAACAGAUGCUAUCUCUGCAAUAUUACUUCUCAAAGCACUCAUAUCCUCUCCCAUGUUAUUUUCUUUGAUCUGUUAGGCCUGCUUCUCUUACAUUUUUCUUUACUCCCUCUUCUCCGAAGCAACCCUCCCCUCCCGUCCUCUCCAUGCACAUGCAUGUAUACACUGAGACUCUGUCUUUCUCUGCGUUCUCCCCUCCGUGCUCCAUCCUGUCUUUCAGAAGGCCAGCAGAGACAGAUUGAGCAGCCAGACUGGUUCAUGGUGACUGUGGACGUUUGAAAUUCAGCUCAUCUGUUCUCUGUCAGCUGAGGGCAAAAGGUGCACGGACGGCAUCCUCGAUGGUUCCAAUUUCCAGCCUAUUCCUCAAUUUUCAACCUCGGUGACAAACAACAUAGACUGGAAUGACUGUUUACCUAAAGAAAAGGGGGUGAGGAACUGCGCUGUUUAUUCUCACCUCACCAAAAGAGUUACUGCAAGUUAUUAUUUUUUUUUUCCAGCUUUACGGUUAUCUCUCACAGCUAUUGCACUGUCAUCACUUUAAACACAUAUCAACCUCUGCUAAAGCACAAAGAUAGAAGACAGACAGUUGGAGAAAAGAAAAGAAAGAAGAAGAAAAAAAAGGAAGAUCUGAGGAUGUUUUUUCCUCUCCAUCCUUGUGGCCCCAGUGCGUGAAAUGUCAAAGAGCAGUCAGUGGGAGAGACUGAUUCCAGGAGGCGAUGUGAAUGGGACGAUUGAAGACUUGCUUUGAUUGACAGCUCUUCCUCUCUUGCUUUGCCCUGAGGGUGAUUGACAAUGUGGUUCAUCUCACAUUUUGUGACUGAGCUAAUCCAGUAAAUUCCUACCAGACGCAGCUCAACUCAGCAGAGACCUGCCGCUCCUUUCCCAGGUGGAGUUUUUCAUUUUAUCUCCUUUUCCCCCAAAUAAACAUGUUUUUCCAUCUGUGGCUGUGAAAACAAACCAGGGAGGGAGCAAGGUGUCGUAGGGGUCUAUAAUUAAGUAUAAGCACAUAAUUAAGUGAGUAUAGAAAAUGUGAAUUUUUCGAUGAAUUAAAAUGUAGACUAAUGACAUGUGGGAAUUAUCCUGCUGUUGUGUUAGUGAUUAAUAUUGUCGUAGGUUACCGAUUUCAAUAUAAUGCCAGUUGGAAAUGGAAUCACCUUUCUGGAACAUUUGAUCUCUUGCCAAGUUAGGUAAUUAAUUGACUCAACAAGCACUGACACACAACUAUCUUGCACACCGUCCCUCAUGCCCACAAGGUGUGCCGCUUAUUCUCCCAACCUUGUACCUGUGUUUUGAUGUGCACCGGUUCCCAUAACCUGCUUCUGCUGUAGUGCAGCUGGUCUUUAGAAAGAAAACAGAAACAUAAGAACACUCCAAUAAGGGAAAGAACAAACUUACAGGACCCCCCCCCCCCCUUUUUUUUUAAGGUUGUGUAAGCGGUCGGUGACACACAGUAUUGCUGCUGCCCAAUAAGGAUAGAAGCCCACAAAAUGUUUGACGCCUCCAUUAAUCAUCAUUCCUAAAUGAUUGUUCUGUGAGGGGAUUCAUUUAAUUAUGAUUAAUUGCAGAGUGUGGCCAAUCAAGCGAUGAACUACUGCCUAAUUUUUUUUUUUUUGCAAAAGCUUGGUGUUCACUUUAAGUCAAAGUAGCAUAACCCAGACUAGUUACAGUGUCAAGAAAAGUUAAAGUGCACGAGUGAGUGAAAGACCCAAUGUCCCAAGAAAAAACAGCAGGUUUUUCUCCAUCCAUCUAUCCAUCCAUUUUCUCAACCCUCUAUAUCCCUUUUGGGGUCACAGAGAUGCCGGAUCCCGUCUUGGCUAUUGUUGAGCGAAGGCGGGGUCAGCAGUCUGUCGCAGGCCUCCCUCCUCCCUAACUACUAAAAAUCGAUAUAGUACAGGGCUAUCUAGUGUCCAAUUUAGAAGCAAAUUGGACAUCAUGCUCACUACUUUUUUUUAAAACUGCUAAUAUGACAUCACCGAUUUUCAGAAGUAAAAACUUAAAAAAUAUGAAGAUUUUACAAAGGCUGUGCCUACAUUCACUUUGUUCUGAUGGUAAAAACUUGGAUGGUUUAUAUAAAAGUUGAACUUUUUUCACAAAAAAUGUUUCAACUUAAUGCAUUGUGGUUUAUAUUCACUAAUCUUGUGAGCAUCAAUGCUCUCACUGUGUUGUCUUGCAGAAACUUCUGGGAAAUUUCUAGAGCACUUAAUCUAGGAAUCAUAGAUUUGGACAGCUUUACCAUAUAGUGCAUUGUGGGAAGUGAAGGAAUUCAAACACAACCUAUCUAUAAGGUCUGAGAUGAAAAAUGUCCCAUUGAGCUGCCACAUCUCAAUUCAUUCAACGGUGAACACAUACCAGAACAAAAACAUUGUUUUUCAAAAUAAAAGACUAACUUUUUUUAAAUGUAUUAAUUUCUUUUUACUUGAUGGUGUAAAAUAGUAACGUCUUCUGGUUUUUAGAUUGUUACCGUCAAAGGAAUUUCUGUGGAUUCACCAAUAUUUUGUCUUUACAAAGUUGACUUGUGUUAUGUAUUUCCAUAAAGCUCAAAAACAAAGUUCCUGUGUGUUCAGGUGUCUAAGUAUGAUGAAAGUGUGUGAAACAAGUUAUGACAAAGGGAGACAACGACUCACAGAGAAGAACUAUGAAUAACUUGUAUGAUCAUCAGAACUUGCAAGAGGACGUUGCAUACUCUUGAUGGUAUGUCUUUGAAGUCAGGUAAAGUGGGGCAGAUGUUGUCUGACCCACCUCACCGCGUUGUAGUAGUUGCUUAAUAAAAAUCAAUUUUUAAACCUUUAUUUAAACUCAAACACAGCACUUAUACUUGAGCUUGAAUUGCAUUAAAACAUACCUUGUCAUUUGACUCUUGCUUUAGAGCCGAUACUCAUUAGAGGCAAAUAUUUUGUUCACAUUUACAAAUGAGCCCUUAUAAUUGCACGAUUUUAUGCACAAUUCAAAUUCAAAUAAUUCCUUCUUGACACAGCCAAGACAUCUGUCACACGGCUCUUCAUUUUUCUCUUGAAUAAUUAAAAAAAGAAAUAGAGAAACAUACUAAUGAGAGAACCUUACUUGAGGGCUUUGCCGCUCCACUGACUGUCAUAUUAAUGUAUUCCUGUGUGAAUUAAACGCAUCACCAAACACCUAAGUUCCCAAUGUGUUUUCCACUGAAGAGAAGGGCUGGACACUGUUUUUUUUUUCUUCUUUUUGCUUUGCCCUCUGCAGAAAUGAAGGUCAUGCUUCAUUUUUACACCUCUUGUGAUUACUUGUUAAUAGUCACAUUGCAAAGGUCUUUCCUUCAAAUUGACAAAAAAAAGAAAACACUUGGAAAGUAGGUUUUAAUGGGAAUGACAUUGCUUCGGUCAAUGAUUAAGUCAUUAAGAAAUCUUAAAAUGAUAUGUAGAUUUAUUCCCUGCUGUUUCCCUCUGUUCUUGGUUGACAUGUGUACACACCCCUUUACUGUUAUCUAUAAGUAAAUACUAUUGGAAGAGAAAAUAAGUGUCUUGAACAAAGUCUUAAAAUCCUUCUGCUUAUUGUCAUUAUUUUCUCUUUUCUGCCUGGAGCUCUGGUUCAGCCUGUGAUGUCUAACAUUUCUACACCUCCUUACACCUUUCUUUGUUCCUGCUUCCUUCCAUUUAUCGCUUCAUUCCAGUCCUACCCUACACUCAGCUUAGACUGGCAGUCUUCAGUGCAUCUUUCUCAGACUGUCUGACAGCUUGAACUGGCUCAUUAAGGUAAAUUGGGGGUGUAAGACAUAACUGCACACAGAGUUAUUUUAAAGUCUGCUUUGUAGCUGAGCAAACAUGUCAGCUCAUGCUUCGUAUAAUGGCAUGUCCAGGGUGGAGGAAAUAUGACAGAUUUAAUAAUCGUAAUAGAGCAAAUGGUGCUUAAGUGCUAAAGAGGUCAGGUCUUUGCCAUUGUGCUAAAAGAGUUCAGAGAUAAGUAAAAUUGAAAGCUGGAGUGGAAAAGUGGAAAAUCAGGCUUUCAAGAGUGUGACACAGGCGCCAAACGAAGGCACAGAAAGUACAAAGCAACAAAGCAUGCAGUUAAGGUUAGACUGAAAUGUUAGUUUGAAUACUUUGAAUAAAUUUGCCCAUAGCUGUUAGACAGCAAAGCCGGCAAUAUGUGAUUGAUCACGUCCCACAGGGGCGACAGCCAGCAUGACAUUUAUACACAACAAACGGGCUUGGCUACACUAAAAUAAGCUCACACAACCUAUGCAGAUAGCGCAGUCUUUCAUUUUAACAUGUGCAUGCUAAACCUGGCUGAUAAACGAUUUGCCUAGCAGCACUUCCGUCCAUAUUUUAUCACGGCAGACAAUGCUCAGUGGCGUUGCCAGGGUUGGUGUAUAUCCAGUGUUCAGGCAAAAAAAAAAA